AUAAAAUCCCCAAAUAUUAAAAGACACAAAACGACUAUUAAAGUUGUUUGAUAUAAUAAGUUAUAAAACUGAUACCAAGUCAUUUCGGAGACUAAACUAGUUUAGUUGCAUUUAAAUGAAUUAGAAUACUCUACUUAAGGUUCCAAAUAUAUAACAACUUGAAUAAAAUUCAUUACAAGUAACAGCUUUUAAAAUAUUACAAUAGAAUAAUACAUACACUUUGGUAUCGUACAAGGUACAAAAUCUAGUAAUUUCAAAUAUGAUAUUUUUCCCUGUUUCCUAUUUCCAAAAUAUUGUACAAGGUGGAAUUUUAAUGAUCGUUUUGCAAAAAAUAGAAAGAAUUCUGAAAAACCGAACACACUCUAAGAUAUUCAACUAUUCAAGGAGAUUGCUCGAACUUUGUGAUCAGAUUACAGCUGGAAGUUUAUUUAAAAAUGUAUGAGAUGGACUGAACAAAAUUUAGUAACAAAAUCAAACUGCUUCAACGGUUUCAACAUGAUACAGAAAAGCUCA
rnacentral:sRNA from 1 species